rnacentral:rRNA from 1 species
AUUGAACGCUGGCGGCAGGCCUAACACAUGCAAGUCGAGCGGUAACACAGGGAGCUUGCUCCUGGGUGACGAGCGGCGGACGGGUGAGUAAUGUCUGGGAAACUGCCUGAUGGAGGGGGAUAACUACUGGAAACGGUAGCUAAUACCGCAUAACGUCGCAAGACCAAAGAGGGGGACCUUCGGGCCUCUUGCCAUCAGAUGUGCCCAGAUGGGAUUAGCUAGUAGGUGGGGUAACGGCUCACCUAGGCGACGAUCCCUAGCUGGUCUGAGAGGAUGUCCAGCCACACUGGAACUGAGACACGGUCCAGACUCCUACGGGAGGCAGCAGUGGGGAAUAUUGCACAAUGGGCGCAAGCCUGAUGCAGCCAUGCCGCGUGUAUGAAGAAGGCCUUCGGGUUGUAAAGUACUUUCAGCGGGGAGGAAGGCGAUAAGGUUAAUAACCUUGUCGAUUGACGUUACCCGCAGAAGAAGCACCGGCUAACUCCGUGCCAGCAGCCGCCGUAA